GAGGUUGAAGAAGAAGACUCCCAGAGUCCCCACAGCCCUAGGCCUGGGACCCUCCCCACAGCAGGGGUGCUGGCAGAGCUCCUAUGGUUCUACCACUUGGAGUCCCUCUCUCACCUCCCUGCAGAGACCCUGUCACCUGAGCCUUUUUCCCUUCUUCAGAUAAUGCUUUUUUGGGAAGAUGGCCUUUAACAAUGAAACCACAAUCGUGACAGAAUUCAUCCUUCUUGGUUUUCACACUACCUCGGAAGUGAAGAUCUUGCUCUUCUUCACAUUCCUGAUUGUGUACGUGCUGACAGUGUUAAGUAAUGCUACAAUCAUCCUACUUGUGUGGAGCUGUAACCAACUUCAGUCACCCAUGUAUUUGUUCCUUGCAAACCUCUCCCUUCUGGAAAUCAUGCUCACUUCUUCUGUGACACCUAAGAUGUUGGCCAUUACAAUUUCACAAAUAAAUACCAUAUCCUUUG